rnacentral:rRNA from 1 species
CCUACGGGAGGCAGCAGUGGGGAAUAUUGGACAAUGGGCGAAAGCCUGAUCCAGCCAUGCCGCGUGUGUGGAGAAGGUCUUCGGAUUGUAAAGCACUUUAAGUUGGGAGGAAGGGCAGUUACUUAAUACGUGAUUGUUUUGACGUUACCGACAGAAUAAGCACCGGCUAACUCUGUGCCAGCAGCCGCGGUAAU